AAUGGAUGCGAUACAUAUAUCUGUGGUUGUAUAUGCCAGAAAAUGGAUGCGAUACAUAUAUCCCUUUGAUAUUUGAAACAUUAUGUAGAAACUAGAGAGUCAACAAAAAACGAUGUACGUGUUGUUUGAGUUUGUCGUCAAAAGCAGUUAAGCAUCUGAAUUAAGAAACUACAACCAUGCUUUGAGAGUGUAUAAUGAAAGAUGUUUGCAAGCAGAAUACAGGAAAUGGAUAGGCAUUAUGACCAA